rnacentral:rRNA from 1 species
GACGAACGCUGGCGGCGUGCUUAAUACAUGCAAGUCGAACGCUUCUUUUUCCACCGGAGCUUGCUCCACCGGAAAAAGAGGAGUGGCGAACGGGUGAGUAACACGUGGGUAACCUGCCCAUCAGAAGGGGAUAACACUUGGAAACAGGUGCUAAUACCGUAUAACAAUCGAAACCGCAUGGUUUUGAUUUGAAAGGCGCUUUCGGGUGUCGCUGAUGGAUGGACCCGCGGUGCAUUAGCUAGUUGGUGAGGUAACGGCUCACCAAGGCGACGAUGCAUAGCCGACCUGAGAGGGUGAUCGGCCACAUUGGGACUGAGACACGGCCCAAACUCCUACGGGAGGCAGCAGUAGGGAAUCUUCGGCAAUGGACGAAAGUCUGACCGAGCAACGCCGCGUGAGUGAAGAAGGUUUUCGGAUCGUAAAACUCUGUUGUUAGAGAAGAACAAGGAUGAGAGUAACUGUUCAUCCCUUGACGGUAUCUAACCAGAAAGCCACGGCUAACUACGUGCCAGCAGCCGCGGUAAUACGUAGGUGGCAAGCGUUGUCCGGAUUUAUUGGGCGUAAAGCGAGCGCAGGCGGUUUCUUAAGUCUGAUGUGAAAGCCCCCGGCUCAACCGGGGAGGGUCAUUGGAAACUGGGAGACUUGAGUGCAGAAGAGGAGAGUGGAAUUCCAUGUGUAGCGGUGAAAUGCGUAGAUAUAUGGAGGAACACCAGUGGCGAAGGCGGCUCUCUGGUCUGUAACUGACGCUGAGGCUCGAAAGCGUGGGGAGCAAACAGGAUUAGAUACCCUGGUAGUCCACGCCGUAAACGAUGAGUGCUAAGUGUUGGAGGGUUUCCGCCCUUCAGUGCUGCAGCUAACGCAUUAAGCACUCCGCCUGGGGAGUACGACCGCAAGGUUGAAACUCAAAGGAAUUGACGGGGGCCCGCACAAGCGGUGGAGCAUGUGGUUUAAUUCGAAGCAACGCGAAGAACCUUACCAGGUCUUGACAUCCUUUGACCACUCUAGAGAUAGAGCUUCCCCUUCGGGGGCAAAGUGACAGGUGGUGCAUGGUUGUCGUCAGCUCGUGUCGUGAGAUGUUGGGUUAAGUCCCGCAACGAGCGCAACCCUUAUUGUUAGUUGCCAUCAUUUAGUUGGGCACUCUAGCAAGACUGCCGGUGACAAACCGGAGGAAGGUGGGGAUGACGUCAAAUCAUCAUGCCCCUUAUGACCUGGGCUACACACGUGCUACAAUGGGAAGUACAACGAGUCGCAAAGUCGCGAGGCUAAGCUAAUCUCUUAAAGCUUCUCUCAGUUCGGAUUGUAGGCUGCAACUCGCCUACAUGAAGCCGGAAUCGCUAGUAAUCGCGGAUCAGCACGCCGCGGUGAAUACGUUCCCGGGCCUUGUACACACCGCCCGUCACACCACGAGAGUUUGUAACACCCGAAGUCGGUGAGGUAACCUUUUGGAGCCAGCCGCCUAAGGUGGGAUAGAUGAUUGGGGUG